rnacentral:rRNA from 1 species
UGGGGGAUAUUGCACAAUGGGCGAAAGCCUGAUGCAGCGACGCCGCGUGGGGGAUGAAGGCCUUCGGGUUGUAAACUUCUUUUGCUCUGAACAAGGCGCACCAUGGGGUGUGUUGAGUGUAGGGGUUGAUUAGCGCCGGCUAACUACGUGCCAGCAGCCGCGGUAAUACGUAGGGCGCGAGCGUUGUCCGGAAUUAUUGGGCGUAAAGGGCUUGUAGGUGGCUGGUUGCGUCUGUCGUGAAAGCUCAUGGCUUAACUGUGGGUUUGCGGUGGGUACGGGCUGGCUUGAGGGCAGUAGGGGAGGCUGGAAUUCCUGGUGUAGCGGUGGAAUGCGCAGAUAUCAGGAGGAAUACCGGUUGCGAAGGCGGGUCUCUGGGCUGUUACUGACACUGAGGAGCGAAAGCAUGGGGAGCGAACAGG